UCUAUGUACAUCCGUAUGUAGUUCAUAGUGCAAUCUCUAAAAGGUCUUAUAUUUAGGAACGGAGGAAGUAUUUUUUUACUAGAAGACUACAUAUGGAUGUAUAUGGACUCAUCUUAGAAUGUAGAUUCUGUCAUUUUGCUUUGUAUGUAGUCAUCUAGUAAAAUAUCUAAAAAGACUUAUAUUUAGGAACGGAGGCUGCCUGCUGUAUUUGUUCCCGCCACAUGCACACGAUAAUGACGGACGAGCAGUGCAAUUUUUCCCGCCUAAGUUUCCCGCGUUAUUUUCCCACCUAAGUUUCCUGCCUAAGUUUCCCGCUGAAGUUUCUCGUUUUCGCGCCGUUUUUUCCCGCGUAGAAAUCCGGCAGAGCCUAUAAAAGGAGGCAGGGAGUGAAACUCUCUUCACCAUCACCCAAACCUCAAAGCACCUGCACCUUCAUAGUUAGUAUGAGUUUGCCUUGUUCGGAUCAGAGCAUUAGGCCUAGGAAAAUGCAGAGUGCAAGCUUGCCUCGGGGGGUGGAAGCAGUUCGAUGUUGGUGCGGAGAUGUCUACAAAAAUAUUACACACGCGUCUUGCAUAUAUAAUUACUACACAUAUUAUCACAUGAACAAAAAUGCAGUUCCUAAGGUUAUCACCAGUUAUCACAUGAACAAAAACGGAGUCGACAUAUUAUCACAUGAACAAAAAUGUUACACACAUAUUUUUUUUACCUUCCUAAGGUUUCUAAAAUGCAGUUGCAUGGAUAAACAUAUCACCAGUAAUUUAUCAAAGUAAUCGACCUAUUGUCACAUGAACAAAAAUGCUAGUUGCAUGCGUGCGUCUUGCAUAUAUAAUUACUACACAAAUUUAUACAUUACAAUGUUAAUAAACAGAAAGUACAUACUUAAAAAACUAAUCAAAUAGACUAAAAUUUUCGUGCAUGCGAACAAAACCUGCGAAAAUGAAUUGAUUUAACCUUGAUCUACUUUCUUUCAACUGCAACAUAUUCGAAAUCCAACCCAAAAGACCAGAAAUCUUGAAUCAAAGUGAAGAAAGGAGUGUGUUCUUCAGCUACAGAGAAAUGAAAAGACAGUGAGAAUAACCCAAAAUAAAAACAACAUGCAUGCAAACAUAAUCAACAGAAAUGGAACACUCUUACCUUGAUCUAUCUUUUACUCAACUACGACGUCUUCAAAAUCCAAUUUAAAACCGUCCUAAAUCAGUGUAUAAAGUAGUUCUUGAGAGAAAGAGGAGCUGCUGUGUUUGCUCAAGCAAGAGAAAGGAAGGAGGCAACGGCAGAGUGAGAGAGGAGGCAGCUGCUGUGUAUGCU
rnacentral:lncRNA from 1 species